AUUGAACGCUGGCGGCAUGCCUUACACAUGCAAGUCGAACGGCAGCACGGGGCAACCUGGUGGCGAGUGGCGAACGGGUGAGUAAUGCAUCGGAACGUGCCAUUGAGUGGGGGAUAACGUAGCGAAAGUUGCGCUAAUACCGCAUAUUCUGUGAGCAGGAAAGCAGGGGACCGCAAGGCCUUGCGCUCUUUGAGCGGCCGAUGUCAGAUUAGCUAGUUGGUGAGGUAACGGCUUACCAAGGCGACGAUCUGUAGCGGGUCUGAGAGGAUGAUCCGCCACACUGGGACUGAGACACGG
rnacentral:rRNA from 1 species